UACAUGGGGUGCAAACGUUGCUCGGAAUUAUUGGGCGUAAAGCGCACGUAGGCGGUUUGUUAAGUCGGAUGUGAAAUCCCUCGGCUCAACUGAGGAAGUGCAUCCGAAACUGGCAGGCUUGAGUACUAAAGAGGGUCGCGGAAUUCCCGGUGUAGAGGUGAAAUUCGUAGAUAUCGGGAAGAACACCCGUGGCGAAGGCGGUUCUCUGGGACGGUACUGACGCUGAGACGCGAAAGCGUGGGGAGCGAACAGG
rnacentral:rRNA from 1 species